ACACGUAGGGGCCUGACGUUGUUCGGAAUCAUUGGGCGUAAAGGGCGCGCAGGCGGCCGUCCAAGUCCGGUGUUAAAUGGUCGGGCUCAACCCGAUCAUGCGCUGGAAACUGGGCGGCUUGAGUCCCGUAGGGGAUGCCGGAAUUCCAGGUGUAGGGGUGAAAUCUGUAGAUAUCUGGAAGAACACCGAUGGCGAAGGCAGGCAUCUGGCCGGAGACUGACGCUGAGGCGCGAAGGCGCGGGGAGCGAACAGGUUUAGAUACCCUGGUAGUCCGCGCAGUAAACGAUGCGCACUAGGUGUCGGGCGGCAGCGCCCGGUACCGGAGCUAACGCGAUGAGUGCGCCGCCUGGGGAGUAUGCCCGCAAGGGUGAAACUUAAAGGAAUUGACGGGG
rnacentral:rRNA from 1 species